GUUACUGGAUAAAUGGCGUCAUCGCCGAGAAACAGGGGGAAAACCUCAGUGUGGAGGAUGGAAGGGAAGCGAGAGGUCUUUCGGCGUGGGAAGGUCCAGAAUCCAGAACGAAAACCAAGACAGGAGCAGCUCAUUCUGUCCGUCUUGGAGAUGUAAAGUAUCGGAUCAAUGGUGCUGCUCAAGUCCAUGAUGGAGAAGACCGAGACGCUGAUUUGGCAGUGCAUCUGGACGAACGUAUAGGUUGAGGCAAACGGCAUGAGCGCCACGGGUGGCAAAUAGUUGACCACGAUGAUGGCCAGCAGGAUGACCACCAUUUUAAAGGCUUUCUUCUUCACAGGAUUCAUGACCUCUUUGCCAGCGACACUCUUGCGCAACACCCAGAUGAUCGAUAUGUUGCAGAAGACCAUGAUGAAGAAGGAAGACAGAAUGAGGCUGCUGAACACCUUGGUCACACUCAAUACUCCUAGAAUGCUCUCGGUGAUAGCAUAAGCCAAGAUCAUCGCCCAUACCAAGGCUGAGAUGCCUAUGCGCAUGCGGUUAUCACGGAUGUUCGUGAACACAAUAGGGUGUACGACAGCCAAAUAUCUGUCCAAGCAGAUGCAGGCGGUGGUGACUCAAGUGGUUAAGGCUCUGGGUUAUUGACCAGAAGAUCCGGGAUUCAAGCCCCAGCACUGCCAAGUUGCCACUGUUGGGGCCUUGAGCAAGGCCCUUAACCCUCUCUGCUCCAGGGGCGCUGUAUCAUGGCUGACCCUGCGCUCUGACCCCAACCUCCAAGGCUGGGAUAUGUGAAGAAAGAAUUUCACUGUGCUGGAAUGUAUAUGUGACAAA